AGCUCCAAAAGCGUAUAUUAAAGUUGUUGCAGUUAAAAAGCUCGUAGUUGAACCUUGGGGUUGGCUGGCCGGUCCGCCAAUGGCGAGUACUGGACCCAGCCGGCUCUUUCCUCCUGGGUAGCUAGUGCCUUCGGGUGCUAGUGAGCCAGGACAUUUACUUUGAAAAAAUUAGAGUGUUCAAAGCAGGCCUUUGCUCGAAUAUAUUAGCAUGGAAUAAUAGAAUAGGACGUUUAUGGUUCUAUUUUGUUGGUUUCUAGGACCAUCGUAAUGAUUAAUAGGGACGGUCGGGGGCAUCAGUAUUCAGUUGUCAGAGGUGAAAUUCUUGGAUUUACUGAAGACUAACUACUGCGAAAGCAUUUGCCAAGGACGUUUUCA
rnacentral:rRNA from 1 species